GAUGAACGCUAGCGGCAGGCUUAACACAUGCAAGUCGAGGGGUAACAUUGUAGCUUGCUACAGAUGACGACCGGCGCACGGGUGCGUAACGCGUAUAGAACCUACCUUUUACUGGAGAAUAGCCUUUAGAAAUGAAGAUUAAUGCUCCAUAGUAUUGAGAGAUCGCAUGAUUUUUCAAUUAAAGAUUUAUUGGUAAAAGAUGGCUAUGCGUCCUAUUAGCUAGAUGGAGGGGUAAUGGCUCCCCAUGGCUACGAUAGGUAGGGGUCCUGAGAGGGAGAUCCCCCACACUGGUACUGAGACACGGACCAG
rnacentral:rRNA from 1 species